ACAGAGUCUCGCUCUGUCGGCCAGGCUGGAGUGCAUUAUCCAGAGCUGUUGGACAAAUCCAGAGCUGUUAUUGUACCUUCAGGUCAUGUGGAAUGGAAGAUGCUAUGGAAGCUGAUUGGAACUGUGAGGAACUGAAAUCAUCUCCACCUGGAGCAAUUAAACAUGGACCUUGGAAGCCUUGCCUUUGAGAGGCCCAGCAAUCCUGACACCUACAUCUGUGGGGCAACCUUCCCUAUCACCUGCACCUUUUGGAAUUUUGACUCCACCGUGGAGCCUAAGUGAAGCAUGGAGUCUGGGAAAACAAAGCAGAAGCCACUUAUUUGAAGAAAGAGAAAAUCCCACCCAUCCUUUCACCGUGAACCUGGAGUCCCACGGCUAGCUGCUUAGCUGGCUGCACUGUCGCGUUAAAUAGUUUCCCUGGAAGAGAAAUUGUCCUCUUAGAUUUUCAUUCGUUUUGUUGUUUCCUGUGGAUUUUGGGGAGAGGAGGAGCAUCUCCCCUGCACAGCUGCAAACUCAGGUUAGCUGGGUUAUACUCCUGUGCCGGAGCUUGCAGCAGGUGAUCAGGCCUGUGUACAUGAGGCUGUGGAGAGGCAGGGUGGGUACUGGGGCCAGGGGACUUCCAGGAAAUAAAGCUCCUACCUGAAAUGAUAAACAGAGGAAUAUAGUUUAGCCAAUUAGAGAGAAAUUAUUUCUAAAAACUCAAUAAAAUGUAGUUUAACCUUUCUCUCAUUUUCUGGUUUAU
rnacentral:lncRNA from 10 species